UUGUGCGUAUGUAUAAGCAGAAAUAAAACAAUUAUUACUAUAUCAAAUGAAAAGAUUAAGAAACUCCAAGAUUUCAUAUUCUAAGUUAACAUACUAAGGAAUACAAAAAUUUAGCUUAUUCAAUUUGAAUUGGUACAGUGCAUAACAUUAAUAUUCUGUUAUUUAUUUUUUCAACUUCAAACGCAAAGAAUAUGGUUAAAACUAACUAAAAACAAAUUAAAAAUUGUAAGAAGCUUACCAUUACCUUUUCCUCACUUUUUUAAUAUAAUUUGUAUAUAUUGGGACUUAAUUUAGAAUUAAAAAAAGAAUCAAAACUAAGUGCAAAUUUUGCUCAUGCAAAACAGUUUAAGACACCCGAAACACUGAAAACAGUUGAAGACACCCGAAACUCUCAUCCCGAAACAUGAGUGUUUCAAACACAUUCUUGUUUGCUUUUAUGUGUUUCGGGUGUCUGUGCAAUAGAAUUGUCAUCAAGCCAUCUACCUGCUACUCGCAAGACGAUUAGCGAAAUAAAGAUCCGAUAAAAAAAUCUUUGGUAAAUCGAUAGAUAUUGACAAAAAUACGUUAUACGAAGCUACCUGAAAACUUAUUACCGUUUAUUGCAGGACAGGAAUACAUAUCAUAAGUCAAUCGCCCUGCGAGUAGCAGGCAAAUGGUUUGAUGAUGACACGAAAAGUCCUAAAAUAUUGAACUUUCUGAAGAGGCUAUAUUCAUGUAAAAUAAUAAUUUCAUGUAAAAUUAUUCGAUCAAUCCUCAAUGACAUGCUCAUGCAAAACAGUUGAAGAAACCCGAAACACUUAUUCCGAAACAUGAGCGUUUUGAAUAGUACCCUUUUUUGCUUUAAGUGUUUCGGGUGCCUGGGUGAAUAGAAUACAAAUUACAAGUAUAAGGCAACCACCCUUACCACCCAACCACCCUCUAAGUGCCGAAAACUCACAAAUGAUUCGGAUUCACUUAUUUUUUGGGUGUACCCUUGCCGUUACUGCUUAAGCGUUUUGGCAUAUUUUGAAUAUUUUUUUGAUGUAUUUAGGGUUAAUUUCUCCAACUUUAUAGUUGAAAAACCUAGUAUUAAUGUUAUCCAAUGUAAGUGUUAUGUACAUAUGUAUGUACCAGAGUGUGAUCGGCACCCUAAAAUAAGGGUGGGUGUCAUGCGCAGCUCUAUUCAAAUGUGCACUUGCCCAUCACUCUCUUGCACUGACACCCAACACACUUAUAGCAAAUGAAGGGAGUGUCUGAAACACCCAUGUUUCGGGAUGAGUGAUUCGGGUGUAAAUAAAAAAUGCCAAAUAUUUUAGGAUUUUCCGUGUCAAGCCAUCUACCUGCUAAUCGCAGUGCGAUUGACUUAAGAUUUGUAUUCUUAUACAAAUCUUGAAUAAACGGUAAUAAGUUGGUAGGUAGAUGUCUUGAUGACGACACGGAAAAUCCUAAAAUAUUGGCACAUGUUGCUUUGUAUAAGUGUAGUUUUUUUAUUAGUACCUGUGAUGCAAUGUUAGUCUUCUUUUGGGUUUUUUAAUACUUAGCCAUUGAAGACUAAUCACUUGUAAUGAUUAUAAGCUCUUAUUUUUUAAUAUUAGUUACUGAAGACGGCAAUAUCUUUUAUUCUUACAAAUAUACUAUUCUAAGAUUAAAAUUAAUUUAAACGGAAAACAAAAUAGUUUGACUUUUUUAAGGGGCUAUAUUUAUGUUAAAUUAUUGGUAUUUCCUUCCUUCCUUUCAUGUAAAAUUAUUCGGUCAACCCUCAGACACCCAAAAUACUCAGAUGAGUUGUAGACACCCGAAACAUUCCGAUCAGUUGAAGAACACCUGAAUCACUCAUACCGAAACAUGGAUGUUUCAGACACUCCCUUCUUAUGCUAUAAGUGUUUUGGGUGUCUGUUCAAUAGAAUCAUGUGCAUAGAAUAGAGUGGGUGACAAAAAGCAAAUACACAAAACACCCGGAGCGAUCUGUGCGUUCGGGUGUGUUGCUCUUUUCUUGCUGUUUGUGAGUGCGACAAACACUCAAAAUGUAAAAGUGUGAUUCGGGUGCCGAAAAAAGACACCCUUGACGUUCUCUGAAUCAUGGUGACGCUGGAUAACCGUUCACAAGACAAAACACAGGCAAAACGCGUGCACAACGCGAAACGGGACCCAAGCUGCACCUGGAUUCCUGUCUUUUCCUAUUCGAAUCUUUAGGGAAACAACGGAACUCAAUUCGAUACGACUAAUGAAAGGGCGGCUUACGUUUCACCAAGUAAUGUGCCGGAUUUGUGCCGUAGUCCAAUGUACCACGACUUGUACCUCAAAACAGUGCAGCUGGCGUUUGUCUACCAAACAAUGGAUUUGGAUUUAUAAUGUUGGAGGAAAUAACUAUAUGCCGCUGUUUACCAGCGCGUAGCAGCCACAAGCAGGACUCCAGCUCAUAUUGAUUCACAUCAGCAGGUUCAGGUUCAGAGCCAAACUUUAUAAAUGCCUUAAAGGACACGAACUGAUGUUCAUUGAUUGAUUGAGGCAAACAUAGCUAGGCAGCUGGCGGCGGAAAUGUGGUCACCUUUGUUAAUUGGUUAUUUCGCAAAGCUAUGUGUGCUACUAUGGUUGGAGAGAAAUGAACGGUAUUCAAAGACGGCAUCCAAAAAUAGUCUGUGCCCGUAUUUCUGCUAGGAGCCGCACAGAAAAUUAAUAUACGCUGAAGGGAGUACACACUAUUGAGGUGGUACAGCAUUUCAAUGAAUACAACAUUUUUAAUAGGACUGGAUAUGUUGGUGUCCUUGCUGGGAGUGCUUAUACGCUUAAGAGAUCGACCCUUCAUUAGAUU